rnacentral:rRNA from 1 species
GACGAACGCUGGCGGCGUGCUUAACACAUGCAAGUCGAACGGAAAGGCCCUGCUUUUGUGGGGUGCUCGAGUGGCGAACGGGUGAGUAACACGUGAGUAACCUGCCCUUGACUUUGGGAUAACUUCAGGAAACUGGGGCUAAUACCGGAUAGGAGCUCCUGCUGCAUGGUGGGGGUUGGAAAGUUUCGGCGGUUGGGGAUGGACUCGCGGCUUAUCAGCGUGUUGGUGGGGUAGUGGCUUACCAAGGCUUUGACGGGUAGCCGGCCUGAGGGGGUGACCGGCCACAUGGGGGCGUAGAGACGGCCCAAACUCCUACGGGGAGCAACAGAGGGGGAAAAUGCACCAUGGGCCGGAGCCGGAUGGAGCAACGCCGCGUGCGGGAUGACGGCCUUCGGGUUUGAAACCGCUUUCGCCUUUGACGAAGCGUGAGGUACGGUAAUGGGUAAAGGAGCACCGGCUAACUACGUG